rfam:Gorilla gorilla gorilla genomic chromosome, chr17, whole genome shotgun sequence
GCCGGGUGUUGUGGUGCACGCCUGUAAUCCCAGCUACUCAGGAGGCUGAGACAGGAGAAUCGCUUGAACCCGGGAGGUGGAGGUUGCAGUGAGCCGAGAUCAUGCCAUUGCACUCCAGCCUGGGUGACAGAGCGAGACUCUGUCUCAA